ACGAGCGGCGAACGGGUGAGUAACACGUGGGUGAUCUGCCUCGCACUCUGGGAUAAGCCUGGGAAACUGGGUCUAAUACCGGAUAUGACCACUGGUCGCAUGGUUGGUGGUGGAAAGAUUUAUCGGUGCGAGAUGAGCCCGCGGCCUAUCAGCUUGUUGGUGGGGUAAUGGCCUACCAAGGCGACGACGGGUAGCCGGCCUGAGAGGGCGACCGGCCACACUGGGACUGAGACACGGCCCAGACUCCUACGGGAGGCAGCAGUGGGGAAUAUUGCACAAUGGGCGAAAGCCUGAUGCAGCGACGCCGCGUGAGGGAUGACGGCCUUCGGGUUGUAAACCUCUUUCGACAGGGACGAAGCGCAAGUGACGGUACCUGUAGAAGAAGCACCGGCCAACUACGUGCCAGCAGCCGCGGUAAUACGUAGGGUGCGAGCGUUGUCCGGAAUUACUGGGCGUAAAGAGCUUGUAGGCGGCUUGUCGCGUCGAUCGUGAAAACUCACAGCUCAACUGUGAGCUUGCGGUCGAUACGGGCAGGCUUGAGUACUGCAGGGGAGACUGGAAUUCUUGGUGUAGCGGUGAAAUGCGCAGAUAUCAGGAGGAACACCGGUGGCGAAGGCGGGUCUCUGGGCAGUAACUGACGCUGAGAAGCGAAAGCGUGGGUAGCGAACAGGAUUAGAUACCCUGGUAGUCCACGCCGUAAACGGUGGGUACUAGGUGUGGGUUUCCUUCCACGGGAUCCGUGCCGUAGCUAACGCAUUAAGUACCCCGCCUGGGGAGUACGGCCGCAAGGCUAAAACUCAAAGGAAUUGACGGGGGCCCGCACAAGCGGCGGAGCAUGUGGAUUAAUUCGAUGCAACGCGAAGAACCUUACCUGGGUUUGACAUACACCGGAAACCUGCAGAGAUGUAGGCCCCCUUGUGGUCGGUGUACAGGUGGUGCAUGGCUGUCGUCAGCUCGUGUCGUGAGAUGUUGGGUUAAGUCCCGCAACGAGCGCAACCCUUAUCUUAUGUUGCCAGCGCGUAAUGGCGGGGACUCGUGAGAGACUGCCGGGGUCAACUCGGAGGAAGGUGGGGACGACGUCAAGUCAUCAUGCCCCUUAUGUCCAGGGCUUCACACAUGCUACAAUGGCCGGUACAGAGGGCUGCGAUACCGUGAGGUGGAGCGAAUCCCUUAAAGCCGGUCUCAGUUCGGAUCGGGGUCUGCAACUCGACCCCGUGAAGUUGGAGUCGCUAGUAAUCGCAGAUCAGCAACGCUGCGGUGAAUACGUUCCCGGGCCUUGUACACACCGCCCGUCACGUCAUGAAAGUCGGUAACACCCGAAGCCGGUGGCCUAACCCCUUGUGGGAGGGAGCUGUCGAAGGUGGGAUCGGCGAUUGGG
rnacentral:rRNA from 1 species